rnacentral:rRNA from 1 species
CCUACGGGUGGCUGCAGUGGGGAAUAUUGCACAAUGGGCGCAAGCCUGAUGCAGCCAUGCCGCGUGUGUGAAGAAGGCCUUCGGGUUGUAAAACACUUUCAGCGGGGAGGAAGGCGUUAAGGUUAAUAACCUUGGCGAUUGACGUUACCCGCAGAAGAAGCACCGGCUAACUCCGUGCCAGCAGCCGCGGUAAUACGGAGGGUGCAAGCGUUAAUCGGAAUUACUGGGCGUAAAGCGCACGCAGGCGGUCUGUCAAGUCGGAUGUGAAAUCCCCGGGCUCAACCUGGGAACUGCAUUCGAAACUGGCAGGCUAGAGUCUUGUAGAGGGGGGUAGAAUUCCAGGUGUAGCGGUGAAAUGCGUAGAGAUCUGGAGGAAUACCGGUGGCGAAGGCGGCCCCCUGGACAAAGACUGACGCUCAGGUGCGAAAGCGUGGGGAGCAAACAGGAGUAGAUACCCUAGUAGUC